UCUUCAUUUCACGCACUCUCUCACCGGUCAGAGAGGCGAGAUAGUGUGUGAAAUGAAGAGA
rnacentral:pre_miRNA from 1 species